GGCUAUGCCUCUACAGUAAUUUGGUUCUGUACAAACAACGUUUUUCACUGUUGUUCUACAGUGCAAUUUUGGUGAGUCCUCUAUUUUGUCUUUUUGUGAAGUCAAAACAGUUCGUUUGGCUGAAAUGUGAAAACCAAAUAAAAAGGAAAAGAGAAAGAAGGCAGAGAUAGAGAGCGAGAGGGCUAGAGAGUUCUGAAAUCUAGAACUCUCUCUGCCUCUCAACCUCUAUUUUUCUCUCUUUCUCAAUAAUGUCUAGAGAAUUUUUGGAAUGAGAGAGCAAGCCAUGGUGCCGAUGGCUUUUUUUGGACGUCUAUGGUGGUAUAUCUGCCGAUCUGAAUAGAGCAAAGGGGGAUGGGUAGAUCGGAGUGAGGGAAGGCUUUGAGUUGAAAGGUGUGGAAAGGACCCUCCCAAGACUUCUCAUACCCUCUUCCGUCCCUUCCAAGAUCACAGCCAAGCGUAUGAAGGUUAAGAGAAGGAAAUGGAAAAGCAGAGGACUGAUUUGUGGCUUCGGUGGUUUUCUUUUAGCUCACACGACGGACAGUUUAGCUCACUAUAUGCACUUUAUCUUUGCAUCUUAUAAGCCUUCAAAGAGAUGAAUGACAAUAUCUUCUUUGGUCUUGAAAUAUUGGUGGAAUGAAUUGCGGUUUGGGAGUAUAUGUGACAUCAAUUCAAUACACAAACAUGAAGGCGAAAAUGAGAGUUCUUGAUGCUCUUUUUUAAAGUUCUCUCUGAUUUAUUAACUUGUGUUGCUUAGUGCUUCAAUUUUAAGGACUUAGUGACAAAAUGAUGCUAUAUUUGUACUAAUGUUUUACUUGUGGGGAAAAUUUGAUGAGUUUUCUACGUUUUUAUUAUGCAAUUCAUAUUGUUUUGCCGGAUGAGAAUGGUGAUGUGGUGGACUUAGACAAAGAUAAUGAGCUACUAUCUUCGAUCUCAAGGAACCUCAUGAUCUCUUGGUCAUUGUUUGAAGCUUGCUCCAAGGGAUUCUAUUUUUCAGUGCUUUAUAAAAAGGAUUUGGUCCAACUAUACAUGUUAUGUUUUCCUCAUUUUGAUUAAUGUAAACAACAUUCAUUCCUAAAUAGGUGGUCACCUUGUGUGAUAUGGCGAUGUCAACUUAUGCAGGUUUUAUAACUUAAGACAACAGAUACUUGAGAGCCUAAAACUUUGGUAGAGUAAGAAGUGUGGACUAGAAACAAAAUUAGAAGUAUAAGGAGUGAAGAGAAAGAUCAAUUUUUAUGACGUAUAAUAAUAUUUUUUCAUUAUUUCAUGACAUAUAAUAUAUGUGUCUUCUUCAAUUGGAAUUUAUUGUAGAUGUGGGAUUUAUAUUAUGGGUGAAAGCUAUAGUAGGUUCUAUA